UAGGGAAUCUUCCGCAAUGGACGCAAGUCUGACGGAGCAACGCCGCGUGAGUGAAGAAGGAUUUCGGUUCGUAAAACUCUGUUGUUAGAGAAGAACAGCGCAUAGAGUAACUGUUAUGCGUGUGACGGUAUCUAACCAGAAGGCCACGGCUAACUACGUGCCAGCAGCCGCGGUAAUACGUAGGUGGCAAGCGUUGUCCGGAUUUAUUGGGCGUAAAGCGAGCGCAGGCGGUUAGAAAAGUCUGAAGUGAAAGGCAGUGGCUCAACCAUUGUAGGCUUUGGAAACUGUUUAACUUGAGUGCAGAAGGGGAGAGUGGAAUUCCAUGUGUAGCGGUGAAAUGCGUAGAUAUAUGGAGGAACACCGGUGGCGAAAGCGGCUCUCUGGUCUGUAACUGACGCUGAGGCUCGAAAGCGUGGGGAGCGAACAGG
rnacentral:rRNA from 1 species